GAUGAACGCUGGCGGCGUGCCUAAUACAUGCAAGUCGAGCGAACGGACGAGAAGCUUGCUUCUCUGAUGUUAGCGGCGGACGGGUGAGUAACACGUGGAUAACCUACCUAUAAGACUGGGAUAACUUCGGGAAACCGGAGCUAAUACCGGAUGAUAUUUUGAACCGCAUGGUUCAAAAGUGAAAGACGGUCUUGCUGUCACUUAUAGAUGGAUCCGCGCUGCAUUAGCUAGUUGGUAAGGUAACGGCUUACCAAGGCAACGAUGCAUAGCCGACCUGAGAGGGUGAUCGGCCACACAGGAACUGAGACACGGUCCAGACUCCUACGGGAGGCAGCAGUAGGGAAUCUUCCGCAAUGGGCGAAAGCCUGACGGAGCAACACCGCGUGAGUGAUGAAGGUCUUCGGAUCGUAAAACUCUGUUAUUAGGGAAGAACAUAUGUGUAAGUAACUGUGCACAUCUUGACGGUACCUAAUCAGAAAGCCACGGCUAACUACGUG
rnacentral:rRNA from 1 species